GUGUACAUGCAGUACAUCUGUCAAACUCAAACAUAGAACCCAUGCGAGUGAUCUGGUUUUGCCGUUCAGCUUCCGAAGUGCCGGAUCAAUCCGGUCAUACUGCCAAGGGAAGAACACAUGCAACGGAUUGCUGCAAACAACACGGCCCGGUGGAGCAGAUGCCGUUAACGAGGAGCAUUUGAGGGGCUACUUUGAGUUUGCUCUACGGGCAUGGUUACAACACGGUCUGGCAAGGCCUCUCUCCGACGGAAAUGGGCCCUUUGGAUCACUAUUUUAAACAGAAAUUGGAGCCACUGGCGGAAGCGCUGUUGUCGAACCACCUGCUCUCGAACAGUAUGAAAACUUCUAAGAGCAACUGCUUAAUCUGCAGCUUUACCAUCGAUUAGAUGUAGUGGCAGCCAACCGAGCGUACGAAUCAAUUAACAUCAAGCACAUCCAUGUAGACUCGCUCGGUUAUUUGCACUGUAGCCACCGUAGCAACGGGGCCAAGCAAAUCUUAAACCAGAUGCUCAACUUCUUUAUCAAUGUUCACCAGAACAGCGUCGGUUUUCAAAAUGUGCAAUAUCAAUUCGUUUCCAAAGUAGAGUUCCUUGACUCGAACAAUUUUAACGCUUAUCUCGGCAUUAGCUUCAGUAGAAGCUCAUUUGCUUCAGUAGAAGCUAGUGAAUAACCUGGUUGCCCUGCCUAUCGGUUGAUGCGAAUAACACUACAGGAUGAUUGAUUCAAUCAAUCAGACGAUAUUUGUGCACUGGAAUCGAGUGGUGGAUUAUUCCAAGGUGCUUCCGUCAGAAGACAGAGUCCGUACGGAAACAAUGCCAUCAUGCUGGAGGCGAAGGACGUUUAGUAGUUGUGCUGGAACCCGAUCCGCUCCAAAUACUCUCAGGCUUGUUGAGGCUGAAGUUCAUCGAGCUGUUUACUAAGCGCGGCAAUGAAAAAUACCAAACUGUGUUACAUUUGAGUCGUCACUUGGAUGAGCUCUUCGUGAAAGUGCGAUUCAAAAACCGUUUUCCUGCAUGCAAGAGUUUUCUAGUCAAAUUAUUACCAUCUCGUUUAUAUGCGGUGCAUGCAAUGUCCAAAGAAAAGACACUUGCCCUAUAUUUCUUUGCUCUGAUUAGUGAGCUGCUGGUAAUGACAAUUUGCAACGAUAAGUACGUACAGGCACGUGCUCUUCAGUCAACGAGGAAGGCCGAAAAGAAUAAUUCGGAGCAGAACAACCAUGAAGCCGUAGUGGUCCGGAUGGCGGAUAUGCUUUUCACCCUAAACAGCUUCCUGGGUAGUACCAUUGCUUUUGGACUCACUAG